rnacentral:rRNA from 1 species
CGAAGGGGGCUAGCGUUGUUCGGAAUUACUGGGCGUAAAGCGCGCGCAGGCGGUUUUUCAAGUCAGUGGUGAAAGCCCGGAGCUCAACUCCGGAACUGCCAUUGAAACUGUAAACUUGAGGAUGAGAGAGGUGAGUGGAAUUCCCAGUGUAGAGGUGAAAUUCGUAGAUAUUGGGAAGAACACCGGUGGCGAAGGCGGCUCACUGGCUCAUUUCUGACGCUCAGGCGCGACAGCGUGGGGAUCAAACAGGAUUAGAUACCCUGGUAGUCCACGCCGUAAACGAUGAAUGCUAGCCGUUGGGCAGCUUGCUGUUCAGUGGCGCAGCUAACGCAUUAAGCAUUCCGCCUGGGGAGUACGGCCGCAAGGUUG